rnacentral:lncRNA from 1 species
GGUUGUUUAAAAAGACUACUAUAGAAUUUGUAUGACUUUAAUUUCUUUUUUGAUAGUGGCUUUUAAGAUUGGUUUUGGUUAAUAGUAACUUCUAAAUAUUUAGAAUCACUUUUGUUAGACAUUGGUGAUCUUUGAAAACUUCUUUUGGUUUUUUUAUUUGGUGUUUAGAGCAUAAAUUAUGUAAAUCUUAUAAGAAAAAGGAUUGAAGAAGGAUUUUGGUAGCAAAGGGAGUAAUUAAGGCACCAAUAUAGAUGAAUGGAGAUGAAUAAUGAAAAUCUCCAUUCCUAUUGGUCAAAAAUCAUGACCAAUGGGCUUUAAGGAGGCUGCCCGAGGCCAUAUUAGAGAUUAGGGUUAGUUUCUCGUGGCCAUUCGAGUUUUGAAGGCUAGGGUCAGAAGGUUUAGGUUUUUGGCUAUGGUUUUGGUAUAAGUUUUGUGUCAUUUGGGGUUUUUAUGAAGAAAUUAUAGGCGCUCAAAGUUAAGGUAUUAGUUUUGGACCUAUUGUCACUCUUAUGGACAUAACGCACGUGUAUAGAUAGCAAUUGAGGAUCGGCGACCUUGACUUAAGAGAGCACUUUUGUAGCUACACUUUUUACAUACUGCUUACUAGAUUUCAAGUUGAAGUGAAGGAGUUAUUGGAUUUUGAAGUCAGCACAUGCAAUCUAAGGAUAGUAAGUAAACCGAUUUACUAGUGGUUGUUUCUUGAGCUAUAUCUUGAGCAAUUUGACAAGAUUUUGGCUCAA